AUGACAAGUUCAAGUCAGUCGUCUUUGGAUGAUGAAGUGACAAAAGAAUCAUCUACGAUUUUUCCUACUAAUGGCAUGCUCAUAUCAACUGAGGGCUUGGAGCGAGGAGAAAGCUCAAAAGGACGAAAGCGUGUACGUGAAGCAAUAAGAUAUGCUAGCCGUACACCAGAACAAAUCCAAGCAAGGCGAGAACGUGUUAGAGCACGUCGGCAAAAUUUAACACCUGCUGAGAGGGAAAAGAUUAAUGCACAAAGAAGAGAGAAAAGACAACGAAUGGCACUUGAUGAGAGGAAUGCAAGCCAACGAGCACGUAGGCAAAGUUUGACAAUAGAUGAGAGGCAAGAAAUAAAUGCACGCCGGCGAGCACGGAUUCUGUUGCACUACAGUGCCCUGCAGGUUCAUUGA
rnacentral:rRNA from 1 species